rnacentral:rRNA from 1 species
UGAUAUGCUUGUCUCAAAGAUUAAGCCAUGCAUGUCUCAGUACAAGCGCAAAUGAUUGUGAAACCGCGAAUGGCUCAUUAAAUCAGUUAUGGUUCAUUGGAACUGACCCAGUUACAUGGAUAACUGUGGUAAUUCUAGAGCUAAUACAUGCUACACGAGUUCCGACCGGAGACGGAAGGAACGCUUAUAUUAGAUCAAAACCAAUCGUUCGGGACUUGUCCCGUUCGUUGAAUUUUGGUGACUCUGGAUAUCAAGUGCUGAUCGCAUGGUCUCCGAACCGGCGACAGACCUUUCAAAUGUCUGACUUAUCAACUGUCGAUGGUAGAUUCUGUGCCUACCAUGGUUGUAACGGGUGACGGGGAAUCAGGGUUCGAUUCCGGAGAGGGAGCCUGAGAAACGGCUACCACAUCCAAGGAAGGCAGCAGGCGCGCAAAUUACCCACUCCCGGCACGGGGAGGUAGUGACGAAAAAUAACGAUACGGGACUCAUCCGAGGCCCCGUAAUCGGAAUGAGAACACUUUAAAUCCUUUAUCAAACACUAUCAGAGGGCCAGUCUG